rnacentral:misc_RNA from 1 species
GAAAUGCGAUAAGUAAUGUGAAUUGCAGAAUUCAGUGAAUCAUCGAAUCUUUGAACGCACCUUGCGCUCCUUGGUAUUCCUUGAAGCAUGCCUGUUUGAGUAUCAUGAAAUCUUCAAAGUAAAUCUUUUGUUAACUCAAUUGGUUUCUACUUUGGUAUUGGAGGUCUUUGCAGCUUCACACCUGCUCCUCUUUGUUCAUUAGCUGGAUCUCAGUGUUAUGCUUGGUUCCACUCGGCGUGAUAAGUUAUCUAUCGCUGAGGACACUGUAAAAGGUGGCCAAGGUAAAUGCAGAUGAACCGCUUCUAAUAGUCCAUUGACUUGGACAAUACUUUUAUGAUCUGAUCUCAAAUCAGGUAGGGCUACCCGCUGAACUUAAGC